rnacentral:rRNA from 1 species
AGCGAAAGCUGGCGGCAGGCUUAACACAUGCAAGUCGAGCGGGCCCUUCGGGGUCAGCGGCGGACGGGUGAGUAACGCGUGGGAACGUGCCCUCUGGUCUGGAAUAACCCUGGGAAACUAGGGCUACUACCGGAUACGCCCUUUUGGGGAAAGGCUUGCUGCCGGAGGAUCGGCCCGCGUCUGAUUAGCUAGUUGGUGGGGUAACGGCCUACCAAGGCGACGAUCAGUAGCUGGUCUGAGAGGAUGAUCAGCCACACUGGGACUGAGACACGGCCCAGACUCCUACGGGAGGCAGCAGUGGGGAAUAUUGGACAAUGGGCGCAAGCCUGAUCCAGCCAUGCCGCGUGAGUGAUGAAGGCCUUAGGGUUGUAAAGCUCUUUUAUCCGGGACGAUAAUGACGGUACCGGAGGAAUAAGCCCCGGCUAACUUCGUGCCAGCCGCCGCGGUAA